rnacentral:lncRNA from 1 species
UUGGCUGCAGCUUGGCUUGAAGAGAUCAUGGCAUUACAAUUCUUGCAUUUGUUAUGUCCUAUUCCCUUCGAUGUGUCUGCCAUCAUUCCAUUCAUAAUAUCGUAUUGAUCUUGAAUAUCUGCCUUUCGAGAAUUUUUUUGGGAGGAAAAGAUUUGAUUUUUACUUACAUUUGUCAUUGUUACAAAUCUAAAAGGUAAAGUUAAAAGAAGAACAAGAGUUAAUGAAGAUGCCGUCAAUAAUAUUUAUAAACAAACCAUGUGAGGAUUUAUUAGGAUAAAAAUAUACCGUGUGAUGUGUAAA